rnacentral:rRNA from 1 species
GACGAACGCUGGCGGCGUGCCUAAUACAUGCAAGUAGAACGCUGAAGAGAGGAGCUUGCUCUUCUUGGAUGAGUUGCGAACGGGUGAGUAACGCGUAGGUAACCUGCCUGGUAGCGGGGGAUAACUAUUGGAAACGAUAGCUAAUACCGCAUAAAAUUGAUUAUUGCAUGAUAAUUAAUUGAAAGAUGCAAUUGCAUCACUACCAGAUGGACCUGCGUUGUAUUAGCUAGUUGGUGAGGUAACGGCUCACCAAGGCGACGAUACAUAGCCGACCUGAGAGGGUGAUCGGCCACACUGGGACUGAGACACGGCCCAGACUCCUACGGGAGGCAGCAGUAGGGAAUCUUCGGCAAUGGGGGGAACCCUGACCGAGCAACGCCGCGUGAGUGAAGAAGGUUUUCGGAUCGUAAAGCUCUGUUGUAAGAGAAGAACGGGUGUGAGAGUGGAAAGUUCACACUGUGACGGUAUCUUACCAGAAAGGGACGGCUAACUACGUGCCAGCAGCCGCGGUAAUACGUAGGUCCCGAGCGUUGUCCGGAUUUAUUGGGCGUAAAGCGAGCGCAGGCGGUUAGAUAGUCUGAAGUUAAGGCUGUGGCUUAACCAUAGUAUGCUUUGGAAACUGUUUAACUUGAGUGCAGAAGGGGAGAGUGGAAUUCCAUGUGUAGCGGUGAAAUGCGUAGAUAUAUGGAGGAACACCGGUGGCGAAAGCGGCUCUCUGGUCUGUAACUGACGCUGAGGCUCGAAAGCGCGGGGAGCAAACAGGAUUAGAUACCCUGGUAGUCCACGCCGUAAACGAUGAGUGCUAGGUGUUAGGCCCUUUCCGGGGCUUAGUGCCGCAGCUAAUGCAUUAAGCACUCCGCCUGGGGAGUACGACCGCAAGGUUGAAACUCAAAGGAAUUGACGGGGGCCCGCACAAGCGGUGGAGCAUGUGGUUUAAUUCGAAGCAACGCGAAGAACCUUACCAGGUCUUGACAUCCCUCUGACCGCUCUAGAGAUAGAGUUUUCCUUCGGGACAGAGGUGACAGGUGGUGCAUGGUUGUCGUCAGCUCGUGUCGUGAGAUGUUGGGUUAAGUCCCGCAACGAGCGCAACCCCUAUUGUUAGUUGCCAUCAUUGAGUUGGGCACUCUAGCGAGACUGCCGGUAAUAAACCGGAGGAAGGUGGGGAUGACGUCAAAUCAUCAUGCCCCUUAUGACCUGGGCUACACACGUGCUACAAUGGCUGGUACAACGAGUCGCAAGCCGGUGACGGCAAGCUAAUCUCUGAAAGCCAGUCUCAGUUCGGAUUGUAGGCUGCAACUCGCCUACAUGAAGUCGGAAUCGCUAGUAAUCGCGGAUCAGCGCGCCGCGGUGAAUACGUUCCCGGGCCU